GACGAACGCUGGCGGCGUGCUUAACACAUGCAAGUCGAACGGUAAGGCCCCUUCGGGGGUACACGAGUGGCGAACGGGUGAGUAACACGUGGGUGAUCUGCCCUUCACUUCGGGAUAAGCCUGGUAAACUGGGUCUAAUACCGGAUAGGACCACGCUCUGCAUGGAGUGUGGUGGAAAGCUUUUGCGGUGUGGGAUGGGCCCGCGGCCUAUCAGCUUGUUGGUGGGGUGAUGGCAUACCAAGGCUACGACGGGUAGCCGGCCUGAGAGGGUGUCCGGCCACACUGGGACUGAGAUACGGCCCAGACUCCUACGGGAGGCAGCAGUGGGGAAUAUUGCACAAUGGGCGCAAGCCUGAUGCAGCGACGCCGCGUGGGGGAUGACGGCCUUCGGGUUGUAAACCUCUUUCAGUACCGACGAAGCGCAAGUGACGGUAGGUACAGAAGAAGCACCGGCCAACUACGUG
rnacentral:rRNA from 1 species